rnacentral:rRNA from 1 species
GACGUAGGGGGCAAGCGUUGUCCGGAAUUACUAGGCGUAAAGGGCAGGUAGGCGGUUUGAUGAGUCUGUUGUGAAAGCUCCCGGCUUAACUGGGAGAGGUCAACAGAUACUGUCGAACUUGAGUAUGGGAGAGGGUACUGGAAUUCCUGGUGUAGCGGUGAAAUGCGCAGAGAUCAGGAGGAACACCGAUGGCGAAAGCAGGUACCUGGACCAUUACUGACGCUCAGCUGCGAAAGCUAGGGGAGCAAACAGG